rnacentral:tRNA from 1 species
CGCCGAGUAGAGUAAUGGUAACUUGCCUGCCUCAUAAGCAGGAGAUUACAGGUUCGACUCCUGUCUCUGCUA